CAAUAGGUGGCUGAGCGGUCAAAAGCGCUUGUUUGGAGAACAAGUUUUUCGUGGGUUCGAAUCCUGCCCUAUCCU